rnacentral:lncRNA from 1 species
GAUGUGGCAUGCAAUAAGCCUGUUGACUGAAAUGUUAUAAAUGACAUGAUUUUUGCCAUCCUAGUCAGAAUCCUCUGCAUUUCAGUUUUGGGGUUUGCCUUCCAGCUCCCCGCCCCCCAACCCCAAGAAGGCAAGUGUCAAAUUAACAGCUCCAAAACUAAUAAACUGAGUGAGUUCAUGGGGAAAUUAUGGUCCUGAAGGAAGCGGGACUUGCUUCCUUCUUGCUGAAGCCAAAUCCUGAAGACUUGGAGCCCAGCGUCAAGAAAACCCUCUGAGUUCCUUCGCUCCAGGGCUCUCGCGGCCCUGUCGUCUUCCGCGUGCAAUCGCAGGGCCCACCGGAGGCCUGGGCCUACAGCUUGGAGAAGAAGCCUCCGGAAUUCUUUCAAGAGAAGCAUAAAUCCAAGUUCAAGUCUUGGAAACUCAGCAAGGAAUGAUGAAAAAUAAAGUUUCCCUGAUUAGACGAGACCCGCAGAUGACUGGAAGUAGAAUCUGAAACUGUUCUCUGUGUUGCUCAAGAAGUCGCUGUCCCGCCCUUCAGAGUGCCAUGUCUCCACCCCGCCUCGACUCAGUGACAGAAAGAACUGCUGUAGAAUCUCCGCCCCCGAAUAUGUCUAAUCUGGACACUCCUCUCCACCUCCCGUGCCGCCUUCCUGGUCCAGGCCACCAGCAUCCCUUCCGUGGAUCAC